CUACGGGGCGCUCCAGUAGGGAAUCUUAGACAAUGGGGGAAACCCUGAUCUAGCCAUGCCGCGUGAGUGAUGAAGGCCUUAGGGUUGUAAAGCUCUUUCGCUGGGGAAGAUAAUGACGGUACCCAGUAAAGAAACCCCGGCUAACUCCGUGCCAGCAGCCGCGGUAAUACGGAGGGGGUUAGCGUUGUUCGGAAUUACUGGGCGUAAAGCGCGCGUAGGCGGGCUAUUAAGUCAGGGGUGAAAUCCCGGGGCUCAACCCCGGAACUGCCUUUGAUACUGGUAGUCUUGAGUUCGAGAGAGGUGAGUGGAAUUCCGAGUGUAGAGGUGAAAUUCGUAGAUAUUCGGAGGAACAUCAGUGGCGAAGGCGACUCACUGGCUCGAUACUAACGCUGAGGUGCGAAAGUGUGGGGAGCAAACAGGAUUAGAUACCCUUGUAGUC
rnacentral:rRNA from 1 species